CCAUAAGAGUAACCUAAAAAUUAAGGUGUUCAACUUACAAUUGAAAAAUGUUCCCCACGAACCCCUAUGA
rnacentral:tRNA from 1 species